rnacentral:rRNA from 1 species
CUUCGAGAAGCCAACGAGAGGCAUCGGAAGAGUUUUCUUUUCUGUUUUACAGCCACACCGACCAUGGAAGUCACUCACAGAGAGAUAUGGUUGGACCGGUCUGGUAGAGCACGGCCGCCGCAACUGCCGUGUCGAUGCACUCUUCUUGGACCGUGAAAAUCGAAG